rnacentral:rRNA from 1 species
AAAAACAUGGCUAUUACGAGAUUAUUUAUAGUCUAGCCUGCUCACUGAUAGAAAUAAUUAAAUAGCCGCGGUAUUUUGACCGUGCAAAGGUAGCAUAAUCAUUAGUUUUUUAAUUGAAAACUUGUAUGAAUGGUUGGACAAAGAAGAUUCUGUCUCUUCUGUUAUUAUUGAAUUUAACUUUUAAGUGAAAAGGCUUAAAUGUUCUAGAGGGACGAUAAGACCCUAUAAAGCUUUAUAAGCUUAAAAAUUUUAUAUAUUUUUAUAUAAAAAUAAUUUUUUAAAGGUUUAUUUGGUUGGGGCGACAAUGGUAUAAGUAAAGUAACUGUUAUUGGAUUAAACAAAUAUAUUUGUUUAUUAAAUUAAUUGAUCCCAUAUAAGGAUUUAAGACCAAGUUACUUUAGGGAUAACAGCGUUAUUUCUUCUGAGAGUUCUUAUCAAAGAAGAAGUUUGCGACCUCGAUGUUGAAUUAAAAUGUCUUUAUAGUGCAGCAGCUAUAAAAGAAGGUCUGUUCGACCUUUAAUAUUUUACAUGAUUUGAGUUCAGACCGGCGGGAGCCAGGUCGGUUUCUAUCU